rnacentral:rRNA from 1 species
UACGUAGGGGGCUAGCGUUGUCCGGAAUCAUUGGGCGUAAAGGGUGCGUAGGCGGCGCGGUAAGUCGGGUGUGAAAUCUUGGAGCUUAACUCCGAAACUGCAUUCGAUACUGCCGUGCUUGAGGACUGGAGAGGAGACUGGAAUUUACGGUGUAGCGGUGAAAUGCGUAGAUAUCGUAAGGAAGACCAGUGGCGAAGGCGGGUCUCUGGACAGUUCCUGACGCUGAGGCACGAAGGCCAGGGGAGCAAACGGG